GACUCCAAGUUGACAAAUGAUGAUUUGCCAAAUGAACUUGCAGUUAUUAGUCUCGGAAAUAUUAAUGAGAGGUUCUACCCACUUGGUAUAGUAAUCUAUUGCUACGAUCAAUAUCCCACUUCUCGAGAAGCCAAGGUUGGUGAUGGUGAUCAACUCUUUGUGAUGACCAAUGAGAUAUAAUUGUAAAAUUUUGACAUUUUGACUUUUCCUUGCGAAUUCCAUGGCAUCGUUUCUGAUAGUUAGCCUAAUGGUAGCUCUAUUUCAUAGUCUAUUGAGCCAAAGAAUAUUUGCUAGCACUACUUCUGCAUAUACCUUCAUGAAUUUCUCUUAAUACAUAUAUAAUGCUUCAUCAUUUCCUACGCAUCUAGGCAAAGCGAUUGUGUACCCUCGCCUGAAUAAGAUUCCAU
rnacentral:lncRNA from 1 species